AUUGAACGCUGGCGGCAGGCCUAACACAUGCAAGUCGAGCGGAUGAAGGGAGCUUGCUCCUGGAUUCAGCGGCGGACGGGUGAGUAAUGCCUAGGAAUCUGCCUGGUAGUGGGGGAUAACGUCCGGAAACGGGCGCUAAUACCGCAUACGUCCUGAGGGAGAAAGUGGGGGAUCUUCGGACCUCACGCUAUCAGGUGAGCCUAGGUCGGAUUAGCUAGUUGGUGGGGUAAAGGCCUACCAAGGCGACGAUCCGUAACUGGUCUGAGAGGAUGAUCAGUCACACUGGAACUGAGACACGGUCCAGACUCCUACGGGAGGCAGCAGUGGGGAAUAUUGGACAAUGGGCGAAAGCCUGAUCCAGCCAUGCCGCGUGUGUGAAGAAGGUCUUCGGAUUGUAAAGCACUUUAAGUUGGGAGGAAAGGCAGUAAGUUAAUACCUUGCUGUUUUGACGUUACCAACAGAAUAAGCACCGGCUAACUUCGUG
rnacentral:rRNA from 1 species